UGGGGAAUAUUGGGCAAUGGGCGAAAGCCUGACCCAGCAACGCCGCGUGAGGGAAGAAGGUUUUCGGAUUGUAAACCUCUGUCCUAUGGGAAGAAGGAAGUGACGGUACCAUAGGAGGAAGCCCCGGCUAACUACGUGCCAGCAGCCGCGGUAAUACGUAGGGGGCGAGCGUUGUCCGGAAUGACUGGGCGUAAAGGGCGCGUAGGCGGCCGUAAAAGGUUCACGUGAAAGUCCUGCUUUCAAGGUGGGAAUGGCGUGGGAAACUGUAUGGCUUGAGUGCGGAUGAGGGAAGUGGAAUUCCCAGUGUAGCGGGGAAAUGCGUAGAGAUUGGGAGGAACACCAGUGGCGAAGGCGACUUACUGGGCCGUAACUGACGCUGACGCGCGAAAGCGUGGGGAGCGAACA
rnacentral:rRNA from 1 species